AUACGUAGGGGGCGAGCGUUGUCCGGAAUGAUUGGGCGUAAAGGGCGCGUAGGCGGCGCGGUAAGUCUGGAGUGAAAGUCCUGCUUUCAAGGUGGGAAUUGCUUUGGAUACUGCCGCGCUUGAGUGCAGGAGAGGUUAUCGGAAUUCCCGGUGUAGCGGUGAAAUGCGUAGAGAUCGGGAGGAACACCAGUGGCGAAGGCGGGUAACUGGACUGCAACUGACGCUGAGGCGCGAAAGUGGGGGGAGCAAACAGGAUUAGAUACCCUGGUAGUCCACACCGUAAACGAUGAAUGCUAGGUGUAAGAGGUAUCGACCCCUUUUGUGCCGGAGUCAACACAAUAAGCAUUCCGCCUGGGGAGUACGGCCGCAAGAUUGAAACUCAAAGGAAUUGACGGGG
rnacentral:rRNA from 1 species